AUUGAACGCUGGCGGCAUGCUUUACACAUGCAAGUCGAACGGUAACAGGUCUUCGGAUGCUGACGAGUGGCGAACGGGUGAGUAAUACAUCGGAACGUGCCUAGUAGUGGGGGAUAACUACUCGAAAGAGUAGCUAAUACCGCAUGAGAUCUACGGAUGAAAGCAGGGGACCUUCGGGCCUUGUGCUACUAGAGCGGCUGAUGGCAGAUUAGGUAGUUGGUGGGGUAAAGGCUUACCAAGCCUGCGAUCUGUAGCUGGUCUGAGAGGACGACCAGCCAAACGGGGACUGAGACACGGCCCAGGCUCCUACGGGAGGCAGCAGUGGGGAAUUUUGGACAAGGGGCGAAAGCCUGAUCCAGCAAUGCCGCGUGCAGGAUGAAGGCCCUCGGGUUGUAAACUGCUUUUGUACGGAACGAAAAGCCUGGGGCUAAUAUCCCCGGGUCAUGACGGUACCGUAAGAAUAAGCACCGGCUAACUACGUGCCAGCCGCCGCAGUAAGAC
rnacentral:rRNA from 1 species